GAGGGUAUAGCUUAGUGGUAGAGUGCGUGCUUAGCAUGCAUGAGGUACUGUGUUCAAUCCCCAGUACCUCCA
rnacentral:tRNA from 1 species